GGAGAAUAUAUCUAUUUCUACAUUGAGUCCAGUGUAUGGAAGAGCUGCAAAUAAACUGAUAGCAGGGAGUGGAAGAGGUGAAGACAAGUAAGAACACCCCACCUUUGGAUGUCUGGAUGAGACCCCCCAAAUGAUUCACCUACUCUCGGAGCAGAGCACAGUGGGUAAUGAGAAUGCACUGACCUUGAGCCCACUCAUCAUAAGCG
rnacentral:lncRNA from 1 species